rnacentral:misc_RNA from 1 species
GAUGAAGAACGUAGCGAAAUGCGAUAAGUAAUGUGAAUUGCAGAAUUCAGUGAAUCAUCGAAUCUUUGAACGCACAUUGCGCCCCCCAGUAUUCUGGCGGGCAUGCCUGUUCGAGCGUCAUUUCAACCAUCAAGCCCUGCUUGUGUUGGGGUCCUGCGGCUGCCCGCAGGCCCUGAAAACCAGUGGCGGGCUCGCUAGUCACACCGAGCGCAGUAGCACAUCUCGCUCAGGGCGUGCGGCGGGCUCCAGCCGUUAAAGCACCCACCUUUCGCAAGGUUGACCUCGGAUCAGGUAGGAAUACCCGCUGAACUUAAGCAUAUCAAUAAGCGAGGA